GAUGCAAACAAUAAACCUCAGAACAUCUCAAACCCAAGGAGUCUGGAAGCAACUCUUCAUCUGUUCAAGUUUUAUCAUGAGAUUGUGGCAAUUCAGUCCCCUCUUCAGGCUUCACUUUUAAUUCUCUUGCUGUUUUCAGCAAAUCUGCAGUGACUUCCUCCACUGAAGUUCUGAACCCCUCAAAUUCAUCCAUGAGGGUUUGAAUCAACUUCUAUCAAACUUCCAUUAAGCUUUAUUUCUUCUGAAUGGAUAUCACCUGUGAGUUCUGUGACACAACUUUACAUUUAUUUGUGUCCUACAUCUCACUCUGCUAUGACAUUUUAUUCUCUUAGGCUUUGCAAUAGAACUCAUCCUCAUCAUCAAACACAGAAUUUUCCUGACAUCAAUGUAUCCUUUUGAGUAUAUUAUCGUAUCUCUUAACAUUUCUGUUUCAUCCUUGACCUGAGACUUUUUUUUUUUUUUUUAAUCUUGAGAUAAUUCUUGGCUUUGUCAAGGCUACUGGUGACAAAAGCAUUAGCAAGCAGGUGCAGAGUGCUUUUUCCACCAAAGAAGAGACAUUGUACUCUUUUUGGGGUUAUAUUAAUGACUG
rnacentral:lncRNA from 1 species